rnacentral:rRNA from 1 species
UACGUAGGGUGCAAGCGUUAAUCGGAAUUACUGGGCGUAAAGCGUGCGCAGGCGGUAAUGUAAGACAGAUGUGAAAUCCCCGGGCUUAACCUGGGAAUGGCAUUUGGGACUGCAAGGCUGGAGUGUGGCAGAGGAGACUGGAAUUCCUGGUGUAGCAGUGAAAUGCGUAGAUAUCAGGAGGAAUACCGAUGGCGAAGGCAGGUCUCUGGGCUGACACUGACGCUCAUGCACGAAAGCGUGGGGAGCAAACAGG